rnacentral:rRNA from 1 species
GACGAAUGCUGGCUGCGUGCUUAACACAUGCAAGUCGAACGGUGAACAGGGGCUUGCCCCUGGGAUCAGUGGCGAACGGGUGAGCAACACGUGGGCAACCUGCCCCUCACUCUGGGAUAACUCCGGGAAACCGGGGCUAAUACCGGAUACGACCAGACGAGACAUCGCGACGGGGGGAAAGAACUUCGGUGAGGGAUGGGCCCGCGGCCAAUCAGCCAGUUGGGGAGGUAAUGGCUGACCAAGGGGACGGCGGGUAGCCGGCCUGGGAGGGGGACCGGCGACACUGGGACUGAGAAACGGCCCAGACUCGUACGGGAGGCAGCAGUGGGGAAUAUUGCGCAAUGGGCGAAAGCCUGACGCAGCGACGCAGCGUGAGGAACGAAGGCCUUCGGGUUGUAAACCUCUUUCAGCGGGGACGAAGCGAAAGUGACGGUACCCGCAGAAGAAGCACCGGCUAACUACGUGCCAGCCGCCGCCGUAAAAC